CCUACGGGAGGCAGCAGUAAGGAAUCUUCCGCAAUGGGCGAAAGCCUGACGGAGCAACGCCGCGUGGGCGAUGAAGGCCUUCGGGUCGUAAAGCCCUUUUCUGUGGGACGAUAAUGACGGUACCACAGGAAUAAGCCACGGCUAACUACGUGCCAGCAGCCGCGGUAAUACGUAGGUGGCUAGCGUUAUCCGGAUUCACUGGGCGUAAAGAGCGCGUAGGCGGUGUGCUAAGUUGGACGUGAAAGCCCACGGCCCAACCGUGGAAGUGCAUCUGAAACUGGUAAGCUAGAGUGUGAGAGAGGGAUGCGGAAUUCCCGGUGUAGGGGUAAAAUGCGUAGAUAUCGGGAGGAACACCAGUGGCGAAGGCGGCAUCCUGGCUCAUAACUGACGCUGAGUCGCGAAAGCGUGGGGAUCAAAC
rnacentral:rRNA from 1 species